ACUCAAAUGAAUUGACGGGGACUUGCACAAGCGGUGGACCAUGUGGUUUAAUUCGACGAUAAACGAAGAACCUUACCAGGGUUUGAAACCUAGCUGAAGACAUGUGGAAACAUGUGUCGUCGCAAGACAGCUAGGCAGGUGAUGCAUGGCCGUCGUCAGUUCGUGGUUUGAAUUGUUCCCUUCAGUGGGGUAACGAACGCAACCCUCGUUGCCUGUUAUAUAUGUCAGGCGAGACUGCCCACGACAAAGCGCAUAGAUUGAUUCAGUUCAAUUGUGCUCUGUGUCGUGGGAGGAAGGUGAGGAUGACGCCAGGUCAGCAUGUCCCUCUGAUACCCUGGGCUACACACGUGGUACAAUGCCAGCUACAACGAGGCGCAAUGUCGUAAGACGGAGCAAAUCUUUAUAAAAGUUGGCCCAGUUCGGAUUGAGGUCUGCAACUCGACCUCAUGAAGUUGGAAUCGCUAGUAAUCGCGGGUCAGCCACACCGCGGUGAAUACGUUCUCAAGUCUUGUACACACCGCCCGU
rnacentral:rRNA from 1 species